rnacentral:rRNA from 1 species
UACAGAGGGUGCAAGCGUUGUUCGGAAUUAUUGGGCGUAAAGAGCUCGUAGGCGGUCUGUCGCGUCUGCCGUGAAAACCCGAGGCUUAACCUCGGGCUGGCGGUGGAUACGGGCAGACUAGAGGUAGGUAGGGGAGAAUGGAAUUCCCGGUGUAGCGGUGAAAUGCGCAGAUAUCGGGAGGAACACCGGUGGCGAAGGCGGUUCUCUGGGCCUUACCUGACGCUGAGGAGCGAAAGCAUGGGGAGCGAACAGG